UACGUAGGGGCCGAGCGUUGUCCGGAGUUAUUGGGCGUAAAGCGCGCGCAGGCGGCUUCGCGCGCCCGACGUGAAAGCCCCCGGCUUAACCGGGGAGAGUCGUUGGGGACGGCGGAGCUUGAGGGCGGGAGAGGUCGGUGGAAUUCCCGGUGUAGUGGUGAAAUGCGUAGAGAUGUGGAGGAACACCAGUGGCGAAGGCGACUUUCUGGCCUAUAACUGACGCUGAGGCGCGAAAGCGUGGGGAGCAAACAGG
rnacentral:rRNA from 1 species